rnacentral:lncRNA from 1 species
CAGGAGUAGUUGAUCGGUUUGUGGAGUUUCUGAAGAGGAGUGAGAAUUGUACAUUACAGUUUGAAGCUGCCUGGGCUCUAACAAACAUUGCCUCUGGAACCUCUCAGCAGACCAAAAUUGUCAUUGAAGCAGGAGCUGUCCCCAUUUUUAUAGAGCUGCUUAACUCAGACUUUGAAGAUGUACAAGAACAGGCAGUCUGGGCUCUUGGAAACAUAGCUGGAGACAGUUCAGUCUGCAGAGACUAUGUCUUGAAUUGUUCCAUCCUUAAUCCUCUGUUA